AGGUGAAGAUGAGCUUGGGUUGGAAAGGGUUCAUCAAUGUGCAGAAAAUGAGCUACAAGUUUACCUCAAUGAUAAGGACAUCAAAAGAUUUCAAUGAGUUUCGCACAAAACUUGCUGGAUUGACCAGAGAAUCUUUGCACCAAUGUCUUAUUCCUAGAUUUCCUGAUGAAUUGGCAUUGAGAUGUUAAGCAAAGGUGUCCCCUGGGAACCACAGAUUGCUCGAAACUAUCUCAAAGAAGUGGAGAGAUUUGUUACGUAGCGCCAGACUAUGCCAACUAUGAAGCUCUAGAAAAAUGGUACGGAAAUUGGCCGUUUGUCAUUUACGAGGUAUAAUCCAAUAGCUAAUAAGUAUGCUUCUAUAUUCGACACUUCAAAUAUGUCUAGAACUCAUGUUGUUAUUACGACUUUCAUUUUUACAGAAGGAAAGUUUUUUCGUUCUUCA